GGGGGGCUGGCGCAACGGUAGCGCGUCAGAUUCCAGUCGCUUUCUGGUUGUGUUUAACCUGAGAACUUAUUGGAGAUUCCUGAAGGUUAUCGGUUCAAAUCCGGUGUCCCUCA